rnacentral:tRNA from 1 species
GCCCUGAUAGCUUAACCUAAAGCACUGGUCUUGUAAACCAAAGAUUGUAGACUAACCACUACUCAAGGCU